GUGCUUGCUUUGGAAGCAUAUGUGUUAAAAUUGGAACAAUACAGAAAGGAUUAGCAUGGCCCUGUUCAAGAGUAUUAUUCUAUACUUUUGAGGAAAAAGAUGAAUGG
ensembl:snRNA U6 U6 spliceosomal RNA